GUGGGGAAUAUUGGACAAUGGGCGAAAGCCUGAUCCAGCCAUGCCGCGUGUGUGAAGAAGGUCUUCGGAUUGUAAAGCACUUUAAGUUGGGAGGAAGGGCAGUAAGUUAAUACCUUGCUGUUUUGACGUUACCGACAGAAUAAGCACCGGCUAACUUCGUGCCAGCAGCCGCGGUAAUACGAAGGGUGCAAGCGUUAAUCGGAAUUACUGGGCGUAAAGCGCGCGUAGGUGGUUUUGUAAGUUGGAGGUGAAAUCCCCGGUCUCAACCUGGGAACUGCCUCCAAAACUGCAUGACUAGAGUACGGUAGAGGGUAGUGGAAUUUCCUGUGUAGCGGUGAAAUGCGUAGAUAUAGGAAGGAACACCAGUGGCGAAGGCGACUACCUGGACUGAUACUGACACUGAGGUGCGAAAGCGUGGGGAGCAAACAGGAUUAGAAACCCUUGUAGUCC
rnacentral:rRNA from 1 species